UGGUGGAGUGAUUUGUCUGGUUAAUUCCGAUAACGAACGAGACCUUAACCUGCUAAAUAGCCAGGCCGGCUUCCGCUGGUCGCAGGCUUCUUAGAGGGACUGUCAGCGUCUAGCUGACGGAAGUUUGAGGCAAUAACA
rnacentral:rRNA from 1 species